UACGGAGGGUGCAAGCGUUUGUCCGGAUUUAUUGGGUUUAAAGGGUGCGUAGGCGGCCCUGUAAGUCAGUGGUGAAAUACUGCAGCUUAACUGUAGCAUUGCCAUUGAUACUGUAGGGCUUGAGUACAGAUGAGGUAGGCGGAAUUGAUGGUGUAGCGGUGAAAUGCAUAGAUACCAUCAAGAACACCGAUUGCGAAGGCAGCUUACUAGCUGUAACUGACGCUGAGGCACGAAAGCGUGGGGAUCAAACAGG
rnacentral:rRNA from 1 species